GUUGAUAGUAGAAGGAUAAUUUGGGAGCAGGGGCAUGUAAGAACCGAAACUCGAGCAACACGCUUUUCCAAGUGAAUAGCACAUGCAAAAACUUGGGCGCUGAGUGUUGAGCACGCGGUGAGAGUGGCGGACGGGCGAGUAACGCGUGAGCAACCAACCUUGCACUGGGGGAUAACGUCGGGAAACCGGCGCUAAUACCGCAUGACAUUACUGGAUCGCAUGGUCUUGUAAUCAAAGCUCCGGCGGUGCGAGACGGGCUCGCGUCCAAUUAGCUGGUUGGCGGGGUAAAGGCCCACCAAGGCGACGAUUGGUAGCCGAACUGAGAGGUUGAUCGGCCGCAUUGGGACUGAGACACGGCCCAGACUCCUACGGGAGGCAGCAGUGGGGAAUAUUGCGCAAUGGGGGAAACCCUGACGCAGCAACGCCGCGUGAAGGAAGAAGGCCUUCGGGUUGUAAACUUCUUUGAUGAGGGACGAAGGAAGUGACGGUACCUAAAAAACAAGCCACGGCUAACUACGUGCCAGCAGCCGCGGUAAUACGUAGGUGGCGAGCGUUGUCCGGAAUUACUGGGCGUAAAGGGCGUGUAGGCGGGGGUAGAAGUCAGGUGUGAAAUACCGCGGCUCAACUGCGGGGAUGCAUCUGAAACUCUGCUUCUUGAGUGUCGGAGAGGAAAGCGGAAUUCCCAGUGUAGCGGUGAAAUGCGUAGAGAUUGGGAGGAACACCAGUGGCGAAGGCGGCUUUCUGGACAGUAACUGACGCUGAGGCGCGAAAGCGUGGGGAGCAAACAGGAUUAGAUACCCUGGUAGUCCACGCCGUAAACGAUGGAUACUAGGUGUAGGAGGUAUCGACCCCUUCUGUGCCGGAGUUAACACAAUAAGUAUCCCGCCUGGGGAGUACGGCCGCAAGGCUGAAACUCAAAGGAAUUGACGGGGGCCCGCACAAGCAGUGGAGUAUGUGGUUUAAUUCGAAGCAACGCGAAGAACCUUACCAGGGCUUGACAUCCCUCUGACAGCUCUAGAGAUAGGGCUUCUCUUCGGAGCAGAGGAGACAGGUGGUGCAUGGUUGUCGUCAGCUCGUGUCGUGAGAUGUUGGGUUAAG
rnacentral:rRNA from 1 species